ensembl:lncRNA
CUAUAAUUUGUUUGACUUUUUAUAUAUUUGGUCAAAAAAUGUUAUGGAAUCAACUCAAAAUAUAUAGUAUAUAUGUAUACAUAUAAAAAGUAGAAUAUUGUUAAAAAUGUCAAAUGCAAGAAAAAAAGAAAUAUUUCUGUUUGAAAAGUGUGGAAGAAAUACUAGGUCCAAAAAUGUCAUAGAAACAAAGUAAAAACAUUUUUGCUCCAAAAAUAGCUUUAAAAAAAUCCCAAACUGUUCCAAACGUAUCAUGGAAAAAACAUAUUUGGUCCAAAAUUAUGAACAGAUAUUUGGUUGAAAAUAGUGGGGAAAAAAGAUCAAAAGGUCAAAUCUCCAUUUCCCAGAGCUCACGGUGACAAUGCCUCACUUUGUUUUGUUCAAGUCAAAAAUAGAUAGAUAAAAGAUAUUCAAUAUAUGAUUAACAUCACAAAUCAAGAAAAAUACAUAAUAUCCGUUUUAAAAUGAAAGUAAACAAUAAGAUUAUCCCAAAUAGUUGCUGAUUGAUUUACCGUAUAGAGAAGUAUUCUAUUAACGGUCAGCUGCCAUUUGUUUUUUUAUUGAUAUUGUCCAGGAUCCUCCUUUUAUUGUCUUUAUAAUAUUAAUUUGUGGUUUCUGUUACUAACAUACUGCAACAAACAACCUGCCAGUCAACAUCUAAGAAGGUCACAACUAGGUUGUUUAUUUUAUGAUAACUGAUACAGGAUAAAUGUUAUACAUUCUAUUUUAACACUGAUAUUUCGCUUUUAUUUUCAAUGUCAGUAUGCAAAAAAAGACAAUACAAAGUAAACAUUUAGUAUCAUGAAUAUGAUACAUAAUUUGACAGCUUCCUCUAUAUUAAACCAAUUGAUUUUAAGGUCUACUUGUUGCCUUGGUGAUAACUUCUUUAGCUACAACACAAAAAAAGGGGGGAAAAAAACAAAAUGCAAAACAUCAAGAGUUGGCUGACAGCAAACACUGCAAAGAACAACAUGAUCUUAAGAUGUAUCAAUCAACUCACGUAGAUGCAUAUAUAAAAAUACAGGGUCCCCGUUAUGUAUAUAUAUAUAUGCACAUACAGUAAUAAUACAUCACUAGAGUUGUAGAGCCUGUACUGGGCAUAGAAACAGACAAAAUGAAGAGAGCAGGAUACACAUACAUACACACGUUUACCAUUAUCUCUCCAUAUAAACACGCAUAAACCAACCAACCAACAAACAGAAGGCUCUCUGGCUUUAGAAGCUAAAAACUACACUGGACUUAAAAAAAAGCAAAAAAAAAAGAAACAGACAUUCACAUUUCUGAAACGUAUUUCAUGAUCUCAUAACUUCUCGCAUGUUCAACCACUUCGGUGUCCGUCAACUUUUAGUUCCACCGGAGAAGCUCCAAUGAUGCUGCUGCUUAAGAUGAUGAUGAUGAUGAUGAUGAGCUCCGUUUGUGCCAUCAAGUCCGAGUCGCCCCAUCAAUCAGGGCCCAGUUCAAUCUCUUUGAUUACUUCACUGUGUUGGUCCUUUUCCUCCACGCCGUCGCUCCUCUCGCCGUGCACUCACUCGCUCACCGUCCACUGGCAUGAACAGUCCAGAGUCUGCACUGUGUCUCUUCAUCCCUCAGUGGAGGUGAAUGAGUGUUGUGGAGGAAGGUGGAGAAGCAGGACUGCGGCCGUCUACGCCUGUGUUUAGUGUAUGAAUGUCUUGAACGUCCAUGCAUUUACCUGUUGUGUGUUUAGUCCGUCCACCUCACAAGCCGGCCUCUACGGGGAGGCCGGGGCUUUGGUACCGCUGUAAUGAACUUGGUAUCUGUUCACAGCUUGCCCUUUCAACUCGGUUGACAGGCAGGUUGUCUUGCAGGGGAUCAUGUCCUCUUCCUCUUCUCCCAGCAGCCAGUUCUGCACGGAGCGCUCGGCCGCCGCCGUAACGUGGUCGGCCUGCCAGCCCUGGUGCCACUUGUCGAAGCGUUGGUGUUGGCCUGCCGCCACUCUGUGCUGCGACU